rnacentral:rRNA from 1 species
AGAGUUUGAUCCUGGCUCAGGACGAACGCUGGCGGCGUGCCUAAUACAUGCAAGUCGAGCGAGCGGAACCAACAGAUUUACUUCGGUAAUGACGUUGGGAAAGCGAGCGGCGGAUGGGUGAGUAACACGUGGGGAACCUGCCCCUAAGUCUGGGAUACCAUUUGGAAACAGGUGCUAAUACCGGAUAAUAAAGCAGAUCGCAUGAUCAGCUUUUGAAAGGCGGCGUAAGCUGUCGCUAAGGGAUGGCCCCGCGGUGCAUUAGCUAGUUGGUAAGGUAACGGCUUACCAAGGCGACGAUGCAUAGCCGAGUUGAGAGACUGAUCGGCCACAUUGGGACUGAGACACGGCCCAAACUCCUACGGGAGGCAGCAGUAGGGAAUCUUCCACAAUGGACGCAAGUCUGAUGGAGCAACGCCGCGUGAGUGAAGAAGGUUUUCGGAUCGUAAAGCUCUGUUGUUGGUGAAGAAGGAUAGAGGUAGUAACUGGCCUUUAUUUGACGGUAAUCAACCAGAAAGUCACGGCUAACUACGCGCCAGCAGCCGCGGUAAUACGUAGGUGGCAAGCGUUGUCCGGAUUUAUUGGGCGUAAAGCGAGCGCAGGCGGAAAAAUAAGUCUAAUGUGAAAGCCCUCGGCUUAACCGAGGAAUUGCAUCGGAAACUGUUUUUCUUGAGUGCAGAAGAGGAGAGUGGAACUCCAUGUGUAGCGGUGGAAUGCGUAGAUAUAUAGAAGAACACCAGUGGCGAAGGCGGCUCUCUGGUCUGCAACUGACGCUGAGGCUCGAAAGCAUGGGUAGCGAACAGGAUUAGAUACCCUGGUAGUCCAUGCCGUAAACGAUGAGUGCUAAGUGUUGGGAGGUUUCCGCCUCUCAGUGCCGCAGCU